GAUGAACGCUAGCGGCAGGCCUAAUACAUGCAAGUCGAACGGGAUCUGAGGGUAGCUUGCUACCCGAUUUGAGAGUGGCGCACGGGUGCGUAACGCGUGAGCAACCUACCCAUAUCAGGGUGAUAGCCCGAAGAAAUUCGGAUUAACACCGCAUAAUAAUACGCUAACACAUGUUGAUGUAUUUAAAUAUUUAUAGGAUAUGGAUGGGCUCGCGUGACAUUAGCUAGUUGGUAAGGUAACGGCUUACCAAGGCGACGAUGUCUAGGGGCUCUGAGAGGAGAAUCCCCCACACUGGUACUGAGACACGGACCAGACUCCUACGGGAGGCAGCAGUAAGGAAUAUUGGUCAAUGGGCGCAAGCCUGAACCAGCCAUGCCGCGUGCAGGAUGACUGCCCUAUGGGUUGUAAACUGCUUUUGUUAGGGAAUAAACCUUCUUACGUGUAAGGAGCUGAAUGUACCUAAAGAAUAAGGAUCGGCUAACUCCGUGCCAGCCGCCGCCGUAA
rnacentral:rRNA from 1 species